UACAGAGGUCUCAAGCGUUGUUCGGAUUCAUUGGGCGUAAAGGGUGCGUAGGUGGCGCUGUAAGUCGGGUGUGAAAUUUCGGAGCUUAACUCCGAAACUGCAUUCGAUACUGCGGUGCUUGAGGACUGGAGAGGAGAGUGGAAUUCCUGGUGUAGCGGUGAAAUGCGCAGAUAUCAGGAGGAACACCUGCGGUGUAGACGGCUUACUGGACCAUAACUGACGCUGAGGCACGAAAGCGUGGGUAGCAAACAGG
rnacentral:rRNA from 1 species